GAGUUGAUUUAUUCAUUUCUACAGCGCAAGAUUCACAAAAAUGUUUGGCCCACUACGAGCUGACCCCUAACAUGGUCUGGUUUGGUCUCCAUAAUAACAGAAAGGUGUAAUACCAUACUGUGAAACAUUCAAGACACAAUAACGUCUCCAUGGAAAAAAGCACUUGACGAUCUAUAAGGACUUGAAUGGCUGGACACCUGGGACCCUGUGAAUAUAAUACAGGAGAUCUCUCUGGAGGAUUCUGGCAGCAGUUCUCACAUAACUCUACCACCGUAUUCAAAGCUGUCACUGGUCCAGACUCCUGUUGGAUAACUGAAGCUGUGCGUGGAAACAGUCUUUGUCUUCUGAGCAGGUUUUAUUAGAAAUCUUGUGUGCAAGUCAUCUACAUCCUCUGCGGUCUGCCCCUCCCUCUGCUCCACUCUGUACUGUACAAGUGCAAUCUGAGCAUGAUAAAUGAACUGGAAAAAGGGGCACAGCUCUGUCC